GAUGAACGCUAGCUACAGGCUUAACACAUGCAAGUCGAGGGGAAACGAUAUUGGAAGCUUGCUUCCGAUAGGCGUCGACCGGCGCACGGGUGAGUAACGCGUAUCCAACCUGCCCACCACUUGGGGAUAACCUUGCGAAAGUAAGACUAAUACCCAAUGAUAUCUCAAGAAGACAUCUGAAUGAGAUUAAAGAUUUAUCGGUGAUGGAUGGGGAUGCGUCGGAUUAGCUUGUUGGCGGGGUAACGGCCCACCAAGGCGACGAUCAGUAGGGGUUCUGAGAGGAAGGUCCCCCACAUUGGAACUGAGACACGGUCCAAACUCCUACGGGAGGCAGCAGUGAGGAAUAUUGGGCAAUGGGCGAGAGCCUGGACCAGCCAAGUAGCGUGCAGGAUGACGGCCCUAUGGGUUGUAAACUGCUUUUAUAAGGGAAUAAAGUGAGCCUCGUGAGGCUUUUUGCAUGUACCUUAUGAAUAAGGACCGGCUAAUUCCGUGCCAGCAGCCGCGGUAA
rnacentral:rRNA from 1 species